rnacentral:misc_RNA from 1 species
AGUGCGUAUGAACUGCAAAAUCUGCAUACAAGGAAAAAUAUACUAACUGCAUUCUACAGUCACAAAUUGCUUUUACUUUCCCUAAUUUAGAAUUAGGAAACCUAAAACCUGCAUCCAGUUGUGAGUAGAAGCAUUACUGAGUUACAUGACGUGAAGAGAAAGGCAUCAAAGUAAAUGUGCUCUUCCUAUAUGCCUUUUUUUUUUCUUUCCCUGGUUACCUUGGUGAGAACAAUCAAAUGUAGGUUAAAAUUCAAAGAGAACCAUCCAGUUGAUGGUAUCAAGAGUAUCUGAGACCUAAGUUACUCUAAUUCAUAUGCAGCAAACAAAAUUAAAAGCUGCAAUAUCAAAUUAGCGAUGCAAGUCAUUUACCUGUAGGCUUAGGAAUGUGCGUGG